UCGCGUCUAGUUAGCAAUUAUACAGCGAAACUGCGAAUGGCUCAUUAUAUAAGUUAUCGUUUAUUUGAUAGUACCUUACUACUUGGAUAACCGUGGUAAUUCUAGAGCUAAUACAUGCUAAAAAUCCCGACUUCGGAAGGGAUGUAUUUAUUAGAUUAAAAACCAAUGCCCUUCGGGGCUCACUGGUGAUUCAUAAUAACUUCUCGAAUCGCAUGGCCUUGCGCCGGCGAUGGUUCAUUCAAAUUUCUUCCCUAUCAACUUUCGAUGCUAGAGUAGUGUUCUAGCAUGGUUACAACGGGUAACGGAGGGUUAGGGCUCGACCCCGGAGAAGGAGCCUGAGAAACGGCUACUACAUCCAAGGAAGGCAGCAGGCGCGCAAAUUACCCAAUCCCGACACGGGGAGGUAGUGACGAUAAAUACUGAUACAGGGCUCUUUUGGGUCUUGUAAUUGGAAUGAGUACAAUUUAAAUCCCUUAACGAGGAACAAUUGGAGGGCAAGUCUGGUGCCAGCAGCCGCGGUAAUUCCAGCUCCAAUAGCGUAUAUUAAAGUUGUUGUGGUUAAAAAGCUCGUAGUAGAACCUUGGGUCUGGCUGACCGGUCCGCCUCACCGCGUGUACUGGUCCGGCCGGACUCCCACCAUAGUCUAACCGCAUGCCCUUCACUGGGUGUGUUGGCGAAACUAUAUUUUUACUUUGAAAAAAUUAGAGUGCUCCAGGCAGGCCUAUGCUCGAAUACAUUAGCAUGGAAUAAUAGAAUAGGACGUGUGGUUCUAUUUUGUUGGUUUCUAGGACCGCCGUAAUGAUUAAUAGGGACAGUCGGGGGCAUCAGUAUUCAAUUGUCAGAGGUGAAAUUCUUGGAUUUAUUGAAGACUAACUACUGCGAAAGCAUUUGCCAAGGAUGUUUUCAUUUAUCAGGAACGAAAGUUAGGGGAUCGAAGACGAUCAAAUACCGUCGUAGUCUAACCAUAACUAUGCCGACUAGGGAUCGGACAAGGUAUUUUUUGACUCGUUCGGCCCUUACAAAAAUCAAGUGCUGGGCUCCAGGGG
rnacentral:rRNA from 1 species